ACCCAAGCAAACUGAAAUCUUAUUAAAAAACAAACAAAACCAAACCUCUAUGGCUUCAUUCCAAAAAACUCUUGAACCACCUUUCUCACACAGAAUUUCAUCUUUUAUUCACUACUUGACAAGUGGUAAUGAGUUAUCAGAGUAGGGGGUAGGCCCAAUCUUUGUUAAAGUCAAGGUAUAGCUUCACUGGCUUACUCAUGUGGAGAUGCCAGCCCAUGCCUACAAAAGUUCUUCUCUGCCGAAAAGCGCGAAUUCUUCCUCCUUAUCCUGACCUGAACUCCUGAGGGAAACACUCACUUAGAAUGAAAGAUGGUGGCUUUAGUGGUAACUUACCCUUUGUGAACUGUUCAUAGUUCUGGAAUUUUCCAGAAUAAUGCAUUUACUAGUAGCACUGGUGUUCAAGAAACUAACAAAGCUUAAUCUUAAUAAAAACUAGCAGACUUUCAGACACUGAAUGUUUCUUUACUAGUAAAACCUUUUUAUUUGUAGAAACAUUACACUGAGCUUAUUUUUCUUGAAUAAGUAUGAUAUUAAUUGUCAACGUUAUGUUGGUUUUCCUCUGUCUUCCACACUAAAAAGUUUCUUUCAU
rnacentral:lncRNA from 1 species